AAGAAUCCUCCUCUACCACACGCCUCCAGGCUAGAUCUAGAAUAGAUGAACACGCCUCCUCCUCCUCCACCAAAUCCCAACCACCGACGGAUCGGAAGUUGAGUUCGCGCCAUGAUCGGAACUCGAUUCGAUCUCGGAACGGUGAGCGGUGAGCCUCCCCACCAUGAUGAUUUAUGCGCCAACCCCCUUGUGCUAUCUCCUGCGCAGGUUCCUCGUGUCCACCGGCGCGUUGACCUUCCGGCGAGCCUAGAUGCGAGGCGGCGGUGGCUUCUGCAGACGGAACCUUCAGAUCUGCCUGUCCGGCUAGCCAGAUCCGUUGCUGAUCUGAUGUCUCACGGUGGAUCUCGGUUGUUCCCGGCGGCUGGAGCUGACGCGGCGGCGAGGACGGACCUUCUCCGGCGAGUUCGUGGGAUCCAGGAUCUACCUCGCGCGACGUCGACGACGACUCUUGUAAUAAUUAUUCGGAAGAACUUUCGAUAAUUAUUAGAUCCAAGAGGUCGGAGGAGACUGCAAGGUAAGGGCCGUGUAACAAGCGAGGUGCUUGUGAAAAAAGCGAUGUGACAAACCUAGAGGCCUUUGCCAUGUUGGGUGCGCUCGCAUGGCAGGCCGCCACCGUAAUAAAGAUGAUUGUUGUGUCUCGGGGGGAGAUCGCACGGGGGUUAUUUUUAUUCUAGCCCCGGGUUCUCCCCCCCUGUGUCCUGGUGUCCCUUGCUGUGUGCUUGCGACAACCGAUCCGACUUGCUGGCACAACGAACUACCGUCGCGAUUCGAUCAUGGAGCAACCGACCAUAUAGCAAAGGUACAACCGCUAAUUUACACCUUAAGUUCACCUAAGCAUGUAGAAGAAGCCUGAUAGAAUCAGGUUCUGAGGUCGAUUACGAGUUCGGUGACAUGUAGAGUUCAUUAUAGACAUACAUAAUCCAGUUAAUUUGUACCCACAGCACAUCACAGCAAUUUACACUAAUUGUAAUCCAGUUUUGAGUUGUAACAACGGCACAGAACAUAAACAGUUUUUUUUGUUCUAUAUUAUCUUGUCAGCUGAGAUUUAUUUGGUUCAUAAGUUAAUACUACAUGCCUUAUUUACUUAUAUUUUCAUUUUGUACAUGACAGUGUUGGAUUAUUUAUCCUGUAAUAAUCCUGAAGUAUUUAUUUGGCAAAAGCUGUAUAUUUGAUGGAUCCUGUAUCCUAGCAUUCUCUUACUGCAAUUUGUAGCUGUAGCUUAUACGAGAUGAUUCAUGUAGCUUGCUCAGCUGUACCAUGGCAUUGCCAAGCUGAAAGAUGAAGUAUGCUGCUGCUCUUUGGCCUAUUUGGAGCUAUAUCGUCCCUGGCCGAAUCAACUGGAGAAACACUUUCGAGGAAUCUACUACACAAGCUGUUGCCUACUACCUACUAGAACUGGUUUUUGCUUACUGAAAAUAUGCGAUUACAUAAUACAAAUCUCCUAUUAUUUAAGUCAUUCAUUUUUAUACCCUGUUAUUUGGAGAUCCAAAUUAAAUCGAUGAAGUGUUGUUGAAUUA